GAUGCUCUCUAUCAUUUCUCUAACAGUCUUGUAUCUGUAUGUAGAACUCGGAGGAGAAAUCAGAAUUGUCGUCAAAGUAACAACUAUGAAAGAGAUAAAAAGGUGCAUGGAGAAGGAUGUUAACGGAGUGACAAAGGUUGCAAAACUCACCGGAAUCAAAAUGACAACACUAGAAUAAAGAGCUCCAUGUACCAUUGAGCCAGUGUGGAUUAUUUGUAGUAGCAAGUGCCGAA